ensembl:processed_transcript
AAUAAACUGUUUGAUUCACAUAUCAGUUUUUGUUGCCUUCCUGGAGCUCCUGCUUACUGAGGAAACACACAGACGGUCUGCCAUUUAUCCCAACAACUUGGUGACCCCGACGUGAUAAAGCUGAUCAGACUACUUCUACUGAUAAUCCUACUGGGACUGACACAGGCCCACACUGAAGUGCACAACUUAUUCUGGCAGUAUGCCAACUGGACUGCACGACAGACAACCAAUGAGUCAUGUGUUGUCUGCCAAGAAGUGUUCUCCUCCGCUGUGACUAUAUCCUUGAAACCUUUGCCUUUUACAUGUACUAAACUUGCUUUUUGUACAAAUGCUUUGGGAGAUAUUUAUGAGUGGCGCCCCACAUGUGUAUCUAACAAGAAAACAUGGGAGCCCUUUUGCAGAUCAACUAGCAGAAAGAAUCAUUCUGUUGUAAUACCUACACCUAGAAAUAUGGGUUUGAAUAUUUUGUUGACAAAACCCCA